UGGGCAUGAAAAUAUGUCAAAUCCAAUCACUUAUCAUUAUGUAUCUCGAUCAAAAGAUGAUAACUUAGUUGAUGAUAUAUUAAAAUUUUUUUUCUAAUUAUCAUCCUGCUUUGGCCAAAGACUUCCGAAUCAACGAUCUAUGAGAUCACAUAGGAUGUUCGCUCUCCUUAUUAGGAGUGACUGAUUCCUUAUUGAUCAC
rnacentral:lncRNA from 1 species